UGUCGUCAGCUCGUGUCGUGAGAUGUUGGGUUAAGUCCCGCAACGAGCGCAACCAUUGCCCCAUGUUGCUACCCCAGUUAUCUAGCUUGCUAGUUUCUGGGCGCACUCUUGGGGGACUGCCUGGGAUAACCAGGAGGAAGGUGGAGAUGACGUCAAGUCAGUACGGCCCUUAUGCCCUGGGCUACACACGUGUUACAAUGGAAGGUACAAAGGGUUGCCAACCCGUGAGGGGGAGCUAAUCUCAAAAAACCUUCCCCAGUUCGGAUUGGAGUCUGCAAUUCGACUCCAUGAAGCCGGAAUCGCUAGUAAUGGGAGAUCAGCUCGCUCCCGUGAAUACGUUCCCGGGUCUUGUACACACCGCCCGUCAAGCGAUGAAAGCCGGGGGUACCCGAAGUCCUAUGUAGAUAGGCCGAAGGUAAAACUGGUGAUUGGCGCUAAGUCGUAACAAGGUAGCCGUACGGGAACGUGCGGCUGGAUCACCUCCUUU
rnacentral:rRNA from 1 species